ACCUGGAGAGAGAUUGUCAGUGACACUGAGUGGCUCACCUCUGCCUGCACAGCUAACCCAGCAUACACAGGCUCUGACCAGCAAAGACGUGCAAAGAACUACAUUCAUGAGCUCAUCACCUGCAGAGCUUCUAUCGCAGACACUAAAAGUCAUUCUCAUUUUACUUUCAGCUUCUACUUGUGUAGAAGAGCAGGCUUCUUAUUCCCUUACUUUCAAAAUUAUUAAACGUUAUAUUUUAAGAAGGAGAAUGCAAUGGGAACUGGACUUUCCCUUGCUAAAUAUUUACCUGGCAAACUCUCAGCGAAGACAAUACCUCUUUUAAAAUGUAAGCAAAUACUUCACUCUGCACUUCUACAGAUGACGACAAACUGUAUCUGUAUGCAAAGGAAGUGUCUCAAGUUUCAAGCUCAGCACUGAAUUAGGCUUUGUUUUUAAUGAGUUGGUAACAUGGGAGAGCAGCGAGCAAGGCUUGCUUGCUUCUUUUUCUCUGAAUGAGACCUGGUCAGACAGCUCUGCACCUCCAGCCCCUGCAGGUGACAGCUCCGCUUGAAGGAUUCAGAGCAGUUUGUGCUCCCACCGACCACUCCCCAGACGGAGGCUCGAGGAGUAAUUCUGCAUUCAAGAAAAUGUGCUCUGUAUGCAUCCGCAGCACAGCUAGCCUGCCUCAGCAAAAACGGGUGAGGAAAAACAAGCUUUUAUCAAGGGUACUUAUAAAAAGGUAGCAGGUAAGGAGGGUGAUGAAUUCAAAAGCAUCACUUUCAGAGACAUGAGUAGUACUGGGUGUUUACCAGAGUCACUUUCCAAAUUAAACUCGACUAUUUACAUUCUGGCUAAACAAGUCUCAUCCUGGUAUUACUUCCUCUGGUUGUUCCUGGUCAUUUAUUCCCCAAGCAAGAAGAUGACCCUAAAACUUAAAGACAGAAGCUGGUUGAUCCACUUGUGCGUGUCCCUCUUAAGAUGCUGAGAAAUAAAUGUACUUUGCAAAGGGCAGAGGAAUCCCCCCAAAAAACAAGUUGCUAGAUGCUUCUUACCCCUUAAGUCUCCUACUAUCAGUUAAUCUCAUUUAAAAAAAAAAAAAAAAAAGAACACCCAAAUCCCAGUGAAAUUUUUCCCUUUUUUUUCCUCAUUUUUCAAUCUAGCCAUGCUCACGGCGCAUAUCCUUGAUCUCUUCAGAGCACUCCAUCCCUACAGGAGAUGCUGAGAACUCUGAAAGGCAUACAGGAAUGAUACAGUUUCCAGCCAGGUCUUUAACGUAAACAUUUAAGGGCGCCUCCCUCUUCCAUGUUUAACUCGUGCGUCAGAGGGAUUAGCAAGUGGCACAAGUUUUCUGAUACCCAGACAGAUUUAUGGAGUGGAGGGGAAGGCUCUGACCCUGCUUGUUUCUGUAGCCCAGCCCAGCUCUGGGCCAUGCCCUGCACGACAGCGGCUGCCGGGCAGCCCCAUCCCCACAGCCUAAGCAUUCGGCCCUGCUGGGCAAUGAGAAAGCUCAAUUAGGAAAAAAAAAAAAAAAGCUCAUUACUGCAAGGACACCGGGAGCCUUCAGGAAAGGAACAUCUUCCAUCACAUCCCCUGGCUCUAACACCGCCUCUCAGCUCGUGGGUACCACAGGUGGGCAGCCGCAAGGGUACGUGCUUGGCCCGAACCAUGACGUGUCCCACGUGCUAGCGUUCCCUGUGCACUCGGUGACCUGUUUAUAAAACACAGCGCUGCCACAAAAAGCUACAGCACAGCUGAAGGGAAGCAAGCCAGUUGCGUUUCCAGUGCCCACUGAGAGAAUGCACCUUGCCAACGAAGGUCUGCUUCCGCCUGCACUACAGCUUGCACUUAGCUCCCUUUCCUGCAAUCAUUAACUAGGAACAAAUGUUCUUCCAGCACCGUGGCAAGAGCUCUUUGUCACCAGCCCUUCUUUUAAAGCUACAAAAUUCUGCCUGCCACCAGCUCAGCCAGCAGUGGAACCACCAAAACACGUCUGCUGAGAAGCAGAGAAAAAAAAAGCCUUCCUCUGCACAGGGGAAAAAAAAGAAAUGUAUUUUUCAUUUGCGUCUCUUUCUCAGUAAAAGAAAGAGAGAAGAGUCAGCUGCCCCAGCUCAAGACACAGAAAUUUAUGCACAUUUAAUAGGAUAUGGGUCUGCAGACAGCUCGCCUGCAAGGUAAAGGAUGAAGCAAGAGCCAACAGCGAGCGCUGGUCUGCACCGGUGCCUGGAGGACACGGCUGGCGUGCAGCAGGAGCUUUGGAGGAGGGUUAUACGUGAUGAAUCCCAUUUAUGAGUCACUUCAAAACCCGGGGAAGAUAAAAGCAUCACCACAACCUUGCAGCGUUUUUCUUCCCUGUAACUGUUCUGCCCUCUCUGUUCCCCUCGAAAAAAAGGUGUGAAGAUUUCACUCGAAA